AGUGAACGCUGGCGGUAGGCCUAACACAUGCAAGUCGAACGGCAGCACAGGAGAGCUUGCUCUCUGGGUGGCGAGUGGCGGACGGGUGAGGAAUACAUCGGAAUCUACUUUUUCGUGGGGGAUAACGUAGGGAAACUUACGCUAAUACCGCAUACGACCUACGGGUGAAAGCAGGGGAUCUUCGGACCUUGCGCGAUUGAAUGAGCCGAUGUCGGAUUAGCUAGUUGGCGGGGUAAAGGCCCACCAAGGCGACGAUCCGUAGCUGGUCUGAGAGGAUGAUCAGCCACACUGGAACGGAGACACGGUCCAGACACCUACGGGAGGCAGCAGUGGUGAAUAUUGGACAAUGGGCGCAAGCCUGAUCCAGCCAUACCGCGUGGGUGAAGAAGGCCUUCGGGUUGUAAAGCCCUUUUGUUGGGAAAGAAAUCCAUCUGGUUAAUACCCGGGUGGGAUGACGGUACCCAAAGAAUAAGCACCGGCUAACUUCGUGCCAGCCGCCGCCGUAA
rnacentral:rRNA from 1 species